GGGGAUGACAGGCUUCGACGGAGGAGGCUGUCGUCAGACUGCGAGCCGAGAGGCGCCGAGCUCGAGAAAUCAGCGCAAACACACAACUGGCAAACCUACUGCCUACAAUGCUCUUCCGCUUGCCGCUUAAACCCGGCGUAGCGCAGAGUAGGCCUCCCGAAUGUGAGGCCCGUCCGUCCCCGAGCGCCGCCAGCCGCGCGGGAAGCGGGCGUCACAAAUGCUGGCGUGCCGCGCGAGAUGCCGCUACCCGCGCCUAAGACUCAGCGGCUGGUCGGGUGCUGACCCUGUUGGCCGGGGCGCACUCGGUGAAACCAAAAUAGGCCGACUACGCUCGUAGAUGUUUGGCGAUGAAUCCUUUCGGACCCGAGUUCGAUUCUCGGCAUCUCCACCU
rnacentral:tmRNA from 1 species